CAGCCGCCACGGGAACACGUAGGGUGCAAGCGUUAAUCGGAAUUACUGGGCGUAAAGCGUGCGCAGGCGGUUUGUUAAGACAGAUGUGAAAUCCCCGGGCUCAACCUGGGAACUGCAUUUGUGACUGGCAAGCUAGAGUGUGGCAGAGGGGGGUGGAAUUCCGCGUGUAGCAGUGAAAUGCGUAGAUAUGCGGAGGAACACCGAUGGCGAAGGCAGCCCCCUGGGCCAACACUGACGCUCAUGCACGAAAGCGUGGGGAGCAAACAGGAUUAGAUACCUGCGUAGUCCCUGUCUCUUAUAC
rnacentral:rRNA from 1 species